CAGUAGCGUAUAUUAAAGUUGUUGCAGUUAAAAAGCUCGUAGUUGGAUUUCUGGUACGCUGCGCCUGGCCCGCCUACGUUAGUAGUGUGAGUGCUGGUGCGCGGUUGCCAUCCUUCAGGAGAACGUGUCUACCCUUCACUGGGCCGGAUUCGGGAUCCUGAUCUUUUACUUUGAAAAAUUAGAGUGUUUAAAGCAGGCUUUUGCUAUGAAUACAUUAGCAUGGAAUAAUAAUAUAGGACUUUGGUUCUAUUUUGUUGGUUUCUAGGACUAAAGUAAUGAUUGAUAGGGAUAGUUGGGGGUGCUAGUAUUCAGCGGCCAGAGGUGAAAUUCUUGGAUUCGCUGAAGACUAACUUAUGCGAAAGCAUUCACCAAGGAUGUCUUCUUUAAUCAAGAACGAAAGUUGGGGGAUCGAAGACGAUCAGAUACCGU
rnacentral:rRNA from 1 species